CCUACGGGUGGCAGCAGUGAGGAAUAUUGGUCAAUGGGGGAAACCCUGAUGCAGCGACGCCGCGUGGGUGAAGAAGCGCCUCGGCGCGUAAAGCCCUGUCAGCAGGGAAGAAAAUGACGGUACCUGAAGAAGAAGCCCCGGCUAACUACGUGCCAGCAGCCGCGGUAAUACGUAGGGGGCAAGCGUUAUCCGGAUUUACUGGGUGUAAAGGGGGCGCAGACGGCGAUGCAAGCCAGGAGUGAAAGCCCGGGGCCCAACCCCGGGACUGCUCUUGGAACUGCGUGGCUAGAGUGCAGGAGGGGCAGGCGGAAUUCCUGGUGUAGCGGUGAAAUGCGUAGAUAUCAGGAGGAACACCGGUGGCGAAGGCGGCCUGCUGGACUGCAACUGACGUUGAGGCCCGAAAGCGUGGGGAGCAAACAGGAUUAGAUACCCGGGUAGUC
rnacentral:rRNA from 1 species